rnacentral:snRNA from 1 species
AUCGCUUCUCGGCCUUUUGGCUAAGAUCAAAGUGUAGUAUCUGUUCUUAUCAGCUUAAUAGACCUACAUUAAUGAUUUCCCAUUAAUAGAGCUUCAUAGAUCUACUUUAAUGAUUCAUCUCGAAAUUUGGACCUAAACAGAUAAAUUUGGGCCUCGCAUAAGUUCUUACCUGACAUAAAUAUAUCAAACAGGUGUCGGAGUCCCC